CGGCGACCGGCAAACGGGUGCGGAACACGUACACAACCUUCCUUCAAAUGGGGAAUAGCCCAGGGAAACUUGGAUUAAUACCCCGUAAUAUUAUGAGGUGGCAUCACUUUAUAAUUAUAGCUCCGGCGUUUGAAGAUGGGUGUGCGGCUGAUUAGGUAGUUGGCGGGGUAACGGCCCACCAAGCCUUCGAUCAGUAACUGGUGUGAGAGCACGACCAGUCACACGGGCACUGAGACACGGGCCCG
rnacentral:rRNA from 1 species